AAAUAUGCGUUAACGAUAGAAGCGGCAUCCUUUUGGUGUCAUCCUGAGCCGAGUCGAAGGAAAGCCAAAAGAUACAGCGGAUAGCGUGUUAAAAC
rnacentral:sRNA from 1 species